UACAGUACCCUCAAGUGAAUAUGAGCCAUCCAUUUUAGCCUAUCGGGCGGUUAACAAGUCCCCGUACUCCACGACCGGGACAUAGAGUACCAGCAAAAAAUUUAUCGGAUACUCGCGGAGUACCUCCACCGAAGGGUCAGAAAAAUAUUUUCUCAUAGUUGCUUCCCCCAGGUUCCUGGCGGCGUCGGGUGAAAUGAACGACCGGGGAGGAGGGCGAGCCGGCGAGGCACCGCGGGCAGUUCCGUUGUCGGCUCCCAGACGAGGCGCCGCUCUGGCGUGGCAUCCAGGCCCUCGACGGAUGGGCGCAAGAUUACCGGCCGACGAGGUGGGCGAGGCGCCGCCCGGCAGUUCCGCCGUCGGUUCCCUGCGGCGGCGAGGUGGGCCAAAGAUAGGAGAUUAGCCGGCCGGGGAGGUUGGCAAGGCGCGGCGCGGCCCUGGCGUCCGGCCCUGGGCUCCCUGCGGCGGCGAGGGGGCAAAGGUGGGAGCGGCCAUGGCGUCCAGAUCUUCGGCUCCCUCGAUGGAUUUGCGCCGACGGGUGGGCAGGAGUGGUGGUUUGCUCUCUGCUCCGGCGAGGUGGGGCAAAGGGAGCAGCGGUCGUGGCAUCUAGGUGGUUGGCUUUCUCGACGGAUGCACGUCGCAGCACCACUUCGUGCUGAACCGAGAUGAGCAUCGACAUGUUCAGAAUGUGAGGAUCAUCCCAACCUCGAUCCCACUUUUUUCCCAUGCGAUGUAUUGCUACCUGUCAUUUGCUUAGGUAUGGAUUUAGAAUUGUUGUUAGAGCCAAUCUCUGUUUUGCUUGGGUGGGUGGCAGUUUCAGUUUUAGAAUUGAUGUUCGGGAUUUAGAAUUGAUGUUAUCCCAGUGACGUUGCAUGAGGAAGGAUUCUUUUUUGAUAGAAAGCGUAAUUAACAAAAUACACACAAUCUACACUUGGAUGUCGGUAUAAAUAUCUACAUCUUUCUGCAUAUGAAUGAAUGGUGCAAGUUAAAAUGAAUCCAUGGACAAAAUAUCACACCUGCAUCGGAAGGCAAUCAAAAUAAUUGAGUAUAUGUGUACAUAGUAUUUUCUGUAAAUAAAUAGUGAUUCAGUAUUACCUGUAAGAGAGCUACUAGGUUACAAGCAAGGUUACUUUUCCUUUGGUCCGGUACUCUUUAUGCUCUCCAUAAGGUGAUCAAAUGUCAGCCUUGCCCAGUUCACUUUCUUUGUAUCAUCCACCUCCAACAUUAGCUUAAGGUAUUGUGAACUGACACUGUAUUUUCUUUCAGGAAUACGCAGGUGACGUAUAGCACACAAGACGAACAUUGUUAUGAAGUGUUCAUCUGUUGAUCCUUUCUGAUUUUUGGUCUCUCGCACUAGGCCUUUGAAGGCCCAAGAGAUUAUCUACAUCUUCUAAGUGGAUUUGUAGCAGAGUUUCUUGGAUGAAGGUGUUAUGUCCAGUGUUGUAAGUAUCGGUCAGUUUUUUGCAGGUUGGCGGCGAAUUUGAAUGUUAUCUAUCCGUAACAAUCCUUCAAGUGGAUAUUGUGCAACUAUAUUAACAGAGGCAUAUACUGAACAUUUGUUUUCAAUAUAUUCUGAAGAGAGGGGUGAUCCACCAGGGGAGGAGUAGAAGAAGACCAUGGAAAGAAGCUUUGGAGAUGUUCGCAACAAGGUGAUGAUAGAAGUUCUAGCGGCGACAAGGGUGGAAGGCAACUGAUCAUCACGCUGAUGCAACGUUUUUUUGUAUUUCAUGUUAAUAAACUAUUUAUGUUUUGAAUCGGAGUAAUGAACCAAGACAUGAAUGUUAUGCAUAAGAUUUAUAUUGUUGUUUGACCGCA